UACGUAGGGUGCAAGCGUUGUCCGGAAUUAUUGGGCGUAAAGGGCUCGUAGGCGGUCCAUCACGUCGGGAGUGAAAAGCUGGGGCUUAACCCCAGUCCUGCUUCCGAUACGGGUGGACUAGAGGUAGGCAGGGGAGAACGGAAUUCCUGGUGUAGCGGUGAAAUGCGCAGAUAUCAGGAGGAACACCGGUGGCGAAGGCGGUUCUCUGGGCCUUACCUGACGCUGAGACGCGAAAGCGUGGGGAGCGAACCGG
rnacentral:rRNA from 1 species